UAUAGCGGUUAUGGCGAGAAGGAUCCACCUGUUUCCAUUUCGAACACAGAAGUUAAGCUUCUCAGCGCCGAGGAUAGUGAAGGGUUUCUCUUUGCGAAAGCAGGACGUCGUUAUGC
rnacentral:rRNA from 1 species